CGAACGCUGGCGGCGUGCCUAAUACAUGCAAGUCGAGCGAGUCUGCCUUGAAGAUCGGAGUGCUUGCACUCUGUGAAACAAGAUACAGGCUAGCGGCGGACGGGUGAGUAACACGUGGGUAACCUGCCCAAGAGAUCGGGAUAACACCUGGAAACAGAUGCUAAUACCGGAUAACAACAGAUGAUGCCUAUCAACUGUUUAAAAGAUGGUUCUGCUAUCACUCUUGGAUGGACCUGCGGUGCAUUAGCUAGUUGGUAGGGUAACGGCCUACCAAGGCGAUGAUGCAUAGCCGAGUUGAGAGACUGAUCGGCCACAUUGGGACUGAGACACGGCCCAAACUCCUACGGGAGGCAGCAGUAGGGAAUCUUCCACAAUGGACGCAAGUCUGAUGGAGCAACGCCGCGUGAGUGAAGAAGGGUUUCGGCUCGUAAAGCUCUGUUGUUGGUGAAGAAGGACAGGGGUAGUAACUGACCUUUGUUUGACGGUAAUCAAUUAGAAAGUCACGGCUAACUAAGUG
rnacentral:rRNA from 1 species